CAUUCACCACCUACCU
rnacentral:rRNA from 1 species